rnacentral:tRNA from 1 species
CAAAUUGGAGCUUGAAUAGUAAAGCAUUUCAUUUACAUUGAAAAGUAUAUCGUGCAAUUCGAUUUAAUUUGA